rnacentral:rRNA from 1 species
GUAGGGUGCGAGCGUUAAUCGGAAUUACUGGGCGUAAAGUGUGCGCAGGUGGCCGCGCAAGUCGAGUGUGAAAUCCCCGAGCUUAACUUGGGAAUUGCGCUCGAAACUACGUGGCUCGAGUGUGGCAGAGGAAGGUGGAAUUCCACGUGUAGCGGUGAAAUGCGUAGAGAUGUGGAGGAACACCGAUGGCGAAGGCAGCCUUCUGGGCCAACACUGACGCUCAUGCACGAAAGCGUGGGGAGCAAACAGGAUUAGAUACCCUGGUAGUCCACGCCCUAAACGAUGUCAACUGGUUGUUGGGUCUUCACUGACUCAGUAACGAAGCUAACGCGUGAGGUUGACCGCCUGGGGAGUACGGCCGCAAGGUUG